rnacentral:lncRNA from 1 species
UAGCAGAAAGAUGUGGGCUGGCAGUACUUCCUGAGAGUGGUAGAAACAUUCUGUUGAGAUCCAUUGCGUUUUGAGGAUUUUCCAAAGAGCUAUUUGCUUCUCACCGAGUUUCUUUUUCUUUAAAUGAUAUAUAAUCUCAUCACAGCUUUCAAGGUGUCCCGGAGAAAUGCAUUUCUUUGCUUAUGACAAGUCUAGGAGGGCAUCCUUCACCCCCUGAACUUUGCAAAUUCUCUCUUAGCACGCAGCUCUGGAGGACGCAAGCCGGAGGAAAGCUCCUGGAAUCAACGCAGAGUGGAGUGGGCUGGGAGGCCCAGGGACUCCACUGUCCUCUGCUUGCUGGCGAGCUGCAUGUGCUUUGCAGGAGUGCAGGAGUGCAGAAUGAAUGGCAGACACAGAAGUGAGGGUGGGAAAGUGGAGCCAUGCUUCCAGCAGUGAGGAUUGGAGCCAGCACCACUCCAGAGGUCCACUUUGAAAUCUGUGCAGUGCAUGAACACAAAGCUGCAAGUUUGUUUGUGUUGUUUGUCCUUCCUUCCUUCCUUCCUUCCUUCCUUCCUUCCUUCCUUCCUUCCUUCCUUCCUUCCUUCCUUCCUUCCUUCC